GUCAUAGAGGGCGGGCGGCGACGGCGGUGGCGGCGUCGGAGGCGCCUCCGGGGGACGGUGGCGGCUCCCGGCGGUGAGGCCGCGCCUGUCCGGGGAUCGUCGAGGGACGGCGGGAGCUUGGGCCAGCGGCGGCGGCGGCCUGGGACGCAGGCGGAGCCCCGCGCAGGCCCAAGGUCCCGGAGGCUAUGGCAGCGGCUACCAUCGUGCACGACACGUCUGAGGCCGUGGAGCUCUGCCCUGCUUACGGCUUGUACCUGAAGCCCAUCACCAAGAUGACCAUCAGCGUGGCACUCCCGCAGCUGAAGCAGCCGGGGAAGUCCAUCUCCAACUGGGAGGUGAUGGAGAGGCUGAAGGGCAUGGUGCAGAACCACCAGUUCUCCACGCUGCGUAUUUCCAAGAGCACCAUGGACUUCAUCCGCUUCGAGGGGGAGGUGGAGAACAAGAGCCUGGUCAAGUCUUUUCUGGCCUGCCUGGACGGCAAGACCAUCAAGCUCAGCGGCUUCUCCGACAUCCUGAAGGUGCGCGCGGCCGAGUUCAAGAUCGACUUCCCCACCCGCCACGACUGGGACUCCUUCUUCCGCGACGCCAAGGACAUGAACGAGACCCUGCCGGGGGAGCGGCCGGACACCAUCCACCUGGAGGGGCUGCCCUGCAAGUGGUUCGCCCUGAAGGAGUCGGGCUCCGAGAAGCCCAGCGAGGACGUCCUGGUCAAGGUGUUUGAGAAGUUCGGGGAGAUCCGGAAUGUGGACAUCCCCAUGCUGGACCCCUACCGGGAGGAGAUGACGGGCCGCAACUUCCACACCUUCAGUUUCGGGGGGCACUUGAACUUCGAGGCCUAUGUGCAGUACCGCGAGUACAUGGGCUUCAUCCAGGCCAUGAGCGCCCUGCGCGGGAUGAAACUCAUGUACAAGGGCGAGGACGGCAAGGCCGUGGCCUGCAACAUCAAGGUUUCUUUUGAUUCGACCAAACACCUGAGUGAUGCCUCAAUUAAGAAGCGGCAGCUGGAGAGGCAGAAGCUUCAGGAACUGGAGCAGCAAAGAGAAGAACAAAAGCGCAGAGAGAAGGAAGCGGAGGAGAGGCAGCGAGCGGAGGAAAGGAAACAAAAGGAGCUGGAAGAGCUGGAGCGAGAGAGGAAAAGAGAAGAGAAGCUUCGCAAGAGGGAGCAGAAGCAGAGGGACCGUGAGCUGCGCCGGAAUCAGAAGAAGCUGGAGAAGCUGCAGGCGGAGGAGCAGAAGCAGCUGCAGGAGAAGAUCAAGCUGGAGGAGCGCAAGCUGCUGCUGGCCCAGAGGAACCUGCAGUCCAUCCGGCUCAUCGCCGAGCUGCUCAGCAGAGCCAAGUUGUGAUAAGUCCCCGGGAAGGAGCAUGACAAGAGGCUGAGACAUGUGGCAGCCCAGUCCUUACCUCAUGGCUGUGAAGCUACGGGAACAGGAGCAGAAGGAGGAGAAGCUGAGGCUCCAGCAGCAGGAGGAGCGGCGGCGGCUGCAGGAGGCCGAGCUGCGGCGCGUGGAGGAGGAGAAGGAGCGCGCGCUGGGCCUGCAGCGGAAAGAGCGGGAGCUGCGCGAGCGGCUGCUGAGCAUCCUGCUGAGCAAGAAGCCGGACGACAGCCACACACACGACGAGCUGGGCGUGGCACACGCCGACCUGCUGCAGCCCGUCCUGGACAUCCUGCAGACCGUGUCGUCCGGCUGUGUGAGCGCCACCACGCUGCACCCCCUCGGGGGCCAGCCCCCGGCCGGUGCCCCCAAGGAGAGCCCGGCCCACCCAGAGGCCGACGGCGCUCCCAAAAGCGUGAACGGGAGCGUGGCCGAGGAGGCCCCAUGCAAGGAGGUUCAGAGCUCCUGUCGUGUGGUCCCCGAGGAUGGCUCUCCAGAGAAGAGGUGCCCGGGCGGCGUCCUCUCCUGCAUUCCUGACAACAACCAACAGCCCAAGGGCAUCCCUGCCUGCGAGCAGAAUGUCUCCAGAAAGGACACCCGGUCAGAACAGGACAAGUGCAACCGGGAGCCCAGCAAGGGCCGGGGCCGGGCCACCGGAGACGGGCUUGCUGACCGGCACAAGCGGGAGAGGAGCCGGGCCAGGCGGGCCAGCAGCAGGGAGGACGGGAGGCCACGCAAGGAGCGGCGGCCCCACAAGAAGCACGCCUACAAGGAUGACAGCCCCCGCCGGCGCAGCACGAGCCCGGACCACACCCGGUCCCGGAGGUCCCACAGCAAAGACAGGCACCGGAGGGAGCGGAGCCGGGAGCGGAGGGGCAGCGCCAGCAGGAAGCACAGCCGCCACCGCCGCCGAAGCGAGCGGUCGCGCUCCCGGUCCCCGAGCAGGCACCGCAGUACCUGGAACAGGUAAUGACGGGCACGGCCUCCCCACGGCCUGUCCGGGAAAGACCAGGACCUGCUCGAGCCUCCUGGCCGCUCCUUGGCCGCUCUCCGUCCACCCCUGCAAAGCCAAGACCCUUCUGCAGCCACGAAUGUCCACGGAGCCCGCCGGCAGGAAGGAAGACACCAUGCUUUAGAGAUCCAUCUUUCUCCACUCACCGCAGCGUACUUGGCACUUCAGUUUCAAACACGUAGUCCUUUAAAACUUGAUCCGAUAGCUUUAAUGCGGCCGGUCCUCUCUCAGUCAGGAAAAUUGCACAGACCGACAGUCGUGAGGAUGGCAGAGCUGCUGCAUUCCCCCACACGGGGAUUUCUGUGUCUGCUUGGCGACCUCCCUGCGUGCACGGCCUAGGAGGUGCACGGGCCACCAUAGUCACACUGGCACUGAAAAGAAAGCGUUGCCCUGGUGAUUCUUUCCCCCCCGUUUGUAAUGUUAACUGAUCAGGAAGUGCAGUUUGGGUGGGAUGCCGAAUCGUCGUGCUGACAUUGAGUCACGGAUGAGGAAGGUACAAGUCCUUUAAGAUCAAAACUCAAACGGGCCGUUCUUUCUAAGGUGUCGGUAUGUGGGGAGUGGUACAAAAUGGUCUGAUGCUCCUUCAAAAACAUUCACUUUUUACAACGUCAAGGAAUUAAGCAUAAAAAAGAUUGGUUAAAAGCUUUGGUUUCUAGUAAAGGUUAGUGUGUGUGGUUUUUUUAAGAAGCUGUUUUGCUAAAUUAUUUUUACUUGGAAUGUUUCAAACAGAUUUCAGGCUGCAAACUUGUUUUAUAAUCGUUUGCUUCUCCAAGUGAAGCUCAGAAAUACCUAAAAAUAGCUGUAACGUUCGCGUUAGGAAAGAUGGUGUUUAUUCCAGUUUGCAUUUUUAUGGUGAAAUAAAAUCCUUUUCCAAUGAACUAAAA